UACGGGAGGCAGCAGUGGGGAAGUAUUGCACAAUGGGCGCAAGCCUGAUGCAGCCAUGCCGCGUGUAUGAAGAAAGGCCUUCGGGUUGUAAAGUACUUUCAGUCGUGAGGAAGGUGUUAAGGUUAAUAACCUUAGCAAUUGACGUUAGCGACAGAAGAAGCACCGGCUAACUCCGUGCCAGCAGCCGCGGUAAUACGGAGGGUGCGAGCGUUAAUCGGAAUUACUGGGCGUAAAGGGCACGCAGGCGGUUAAUUAAGUUGGAUGUGAAAUCCCCGGGCUUAACCUGGGAAUGGCAUUCAAGACUGGUUAGCUAGAGUCUUGUAGAGGGGGUAGAAUUCCAUGUGUAGCGGUGAAAUGCGUAGAGAUGUGGAGGAAUACCGGUGGCGAAGGCGGCCCCUGGGACAAAGACUGACGCUCAUGUGCGAAAGCGUGGGGAGCAAACAGGGAUUAGAUACC
rnacentral:rRNA from 1 species